rnacentral:rRNA from 1 species
CAGCCGCGGUAAUACGUAGGGUGCAAGCGUUAUCCGGAAUUAUUGGGCGUAAAGAGCUCGUAGGCGGUUUGUCACGUCUGCUGUGAAAACUGGAGGCUCAACCUCCAGCCUGCAGUGGGUACGGGCAGACUAGAGUGCGGUAGGGGAGAUUGGAAUUCCUGGUGUAGCGGUGGAAUGCGCAGAUAUCAGGAGGAACACCGAUGGCGAAGGCAGAUCUCUGGGCCGUAACUGACGCUGAUGGACGAAAGCGUAGGUAGCGAAC